rnacentral:misc_RNA from 1 species
UUGGCAGUCGAUAACCCGUCCGAUAACACGAGGUCAUAAGGUGAAUCAUCACCAAAUUCAGCCGGCAGCGACUUCCAGUACAAACAUGGCUCCCACUUAGCUUCCUUCACCACCUUUAAUAUUUCUUCCACCACGAUAUUGCUACCCUCCGAUGAUAAAUGAACGCCAUCAGUAAAACAAGCAUUGAGCCAGUCAUCUCUCUUCUG